UAGGGAAUCUUCCACAAUGGACGCAAGUCUGAUGGAGCAACGCCGCGUGAGUGAAGAAGGUUUUCGGAUCGUAAAGCUCUGUGGUUGGUGAAGAAGGAUAGAGGCAGUAACUGGUCUUUAUUUGACGGUAAUCAACCAGAAAGUCACGGCUAACUACGUGCCAGCAGCCGCGGUAAUACGUAGGUGGCAAGCGUUGUCCGGAUUUAUUGGGCGUAAAGCGAGCGCAGGCGGAAUCAUAAGUCUGAUGUGAAAGCCCUCGGCUCAACCGUGGAACUGCAUCGGAAACUGUCAUGAUUGAGUGCUGAAGAGGAGAGUGGAAUUCAAUGUGUAGCGGUGGAAUGCGUAGAUAUAUGGAAGAACACCAGUGGCGAAGGCGGCUCUCUGGUCUGCAACUGACGCUGAGGCUCGAAAGCAUGGGUAGCGAACAGG
rnacentral:rRNA from 1 species